GUUGCUUUGAGAGGGUUGCGUCAGGAAGGGCAUCUGGCAUAAAACAUUGCCAAGUUGACCAUGCGACUAGUUCGCUGUAAUGACCCAUGAUGGGAAAAGCCGAAAGAGCAACAACAACAAAGGCAGCUGCAUGCAGGCAAAAAGUCCUCUAAAUGAUGAGCAUGGUCUUUUUAUGUCAAAGAUGGUGGUGUGCUCUCAAUGCAACUUUAUAUAAAUGCAAAGGUAGACAGACUUCCAAUUGGCAAAUAGGAGAUGAGUUUCUUUUUAACUGGUAUCCCGUCAAAGUUUUCAAAUAUUAGAUAGAUGCAAGAUUUAUAGGAAUCCUUGUUACGGCUUGAGAGAAGAAGGAAUACGCACUCGAAUCCAAAUGUUUGAAGAACCGAAAUGUUUAAGAACAAAAAGUCACCACAAGAGUGGGUCAAAAAAACUCAAUAUCAUCAAGACUUCAGGACUAGACAGGACGCUGCGCCAUCGAGAAACCAAAAGAUCAUUCCUUAAAUACCCAAAAGCUUUAUUGUAAAAUGUACGCAGCUGUGGGCCCAGGGGAAAGCACAGGAUGGGGAGCGGGCACUGAUCAUCAUCAUCCUCAUUCCUUUUACAAGACAGUACAGUUUCAUUUUAAUAAUAUUAGAAUUUUAGCAUACUCACAUACAUACUCACCAACUUAAUGAAGAUUUCUUACAUGUGUUAUGCAGGGUAGAAUUUUUCUGUUCUUAUAUUUUUUUAAAUAUAUAUUUCUAGUGAACAAUUGAAAAACUCUUCAAGAAAUACUGCUAUUUGGUUUAAAAGUUAUGUAUACAAAAAAUCUUGAAGAAAACACAAUCACAGUGGUGUUGUCCUGUUGCUAAAAAGUAAACCGUGCAAAAGAAAAUCCCAGUGGAGUCGCUGCAGCUCCAUUGCAAACCUUUGGCCGUUUUCUUUUUAGAUAUAACAAAAUCAAAUUUGCACUUGUUGCGAUGUAACAAAAGCCUAUAUCAGAAAUCUUUGUGCCAGCAUGUGUUGCUAAAAAAUGUAAAAAAAAAAAAAGGAAAGACUAAAAUUCAGGGGGUGGCGCAUGAAAAAGUAAAUGAGCAUCAUAAUAUUGAGGUCUUUUAAUUUUUCAGCAGAUGUGAUGAAUUGAGCUUCGACUGAUGUUUCCUGAAAGUGGCAACACGUGUCCCUCUUAUUUGGCUGGUGCUGCCGCCUCGUCUACAGAUGUGUCGCUUGAUGUACCCUUCGAAUGGCACACUGCCACUUAAUAAAAUAUCACUCCUGCUUUGACAGGGAAGCUUUAAUUGAGUCCCUUGUCAGUUUUAUCAAACUGUGUGUUAUCAUCAUUUGAAACUUUUUUUCCCUUCUUCGCUCUUGCUCUGACGGAAUAACCAAUAACAUCCUGUGAAAAAAAGGAGGACAAACUUAAGGAAAUGAAAUACAGCGAAGUACGACGAGAGAAAUAUGAACCAAAGAACACGAGUAAAAGUACUAGGGAGGCCAAAGGAGAGCAGGAGCGAGAAGGGAAAAUAGCUAAGAGAGAAACAGUCUUCAGAAACCCUCUUGUCAUUGAAUUCAUAAUUCAGCUUUGUGAUUUUAAUUUCUCUCUGUUCUUAUCAAAGGCCGGUGGAGCAGAAAAGGGAAUGCUGGUAGUUUGUGGGAUCACUGCAUAGAAGAUGAGCUGCAAGCACAACGCCUGAAGAUGGAAAUGUUGCAUGAGCCCCCCCACUCAGUGACACCAACGCCUUAAAGAGGAAACUGCCAGAAAUGUCUGCUGGGCAUUUUUAAGACAGAGGCUUCCUGGACUAUUUCGGUAUCAAAGCUUUGAAGCAGCAAGAGGAAUGCUGUCUGAAGUUGACAUGUAAGAAGAGGAGGGCGAUCCACUCUGACUGGUUUAUGUGGGCAAAGAAGGCAGGAGGUGCAGUCAGUAGCCCUUCCAGGAGCAACCUCCACUGGGGAUAGGAGCCCUCAAAUGCUCCUCUUCAAACCCAGACCCUCCCCAGCCAUUGGGGGAGGCCUUUAUGUUUCAUAUGUUUGGUGUCCGCUUCACUAGAUUUAUAGAUGUAUGGAACAUGCAUGUAUAUGCCUGUGAACUGUCACUGCUUCAUGGAAUAUGGUGUGAAAGCUGUAAGAAAAUGUGUUCAUUUUAACAUAUAUUUUGUUGAGAUAAAGAACUUUUACAGACGAGUAGAGUCCCUAAGAUGUUGUUAAAGCUUUAUUAACAGAAAUGAAUAAUAUCCUUUUUGAGCAGAAGCCACAGUGCUCGUAUAUCUUUAUAAUUAAUUUAUUCGUUGGUUAAAUAUGUAGCUCAUAAAGCUAAUGCUACUGCUGGCUUUCAGAUCUUGUGUGAUUUCUCAUGAAAGAAGGCAAAUUUGCUUUUGUUUUAAAUCCCAGAUUUACAAUUUUUACAUGUGGACCUAACGUGACUUGACACUAGUUUGGUAAAAUAAAAAGAACAAAGUGAAAAUAUCUCUUUUUGAUUGGUGAAUGUGGUUAGUUCUAUUUUCACCGUGAAGAAAAGUUGUCAUAUGACAAAAUCGUGCCUGCAGCUUUGAUGUGAAUCAACUCCAGCCCUACAUAGCUCUGUGGACUGUUGUCCAGAUGACCUCUUUUUUUCCCCUCUUUCCAUGCUGAGGAAGUGCAGUUUAUGGUGGAUCUAACUGACCUGGCUAGUCUCCCUGCAGAUACUGCUCCCUGAUUCAUCUGCUGCCAACCCCUUCAAGUUAUUCAUCUGGAAGAAAUAUGCAUUCAUCAUUGUAUUUUUAAUCACACCAAAUAGAUAGACAAAGAGAAAGCCUAAGGGAAAGGGGGAGCAAUCCACAACUCCCAAAGCUCAGAUGGUAUUCCUCCCCUGCAUCACCAAACAUUCCCAAAUUGACUUUGAAUGGAUUUAUUUUUAAUGUGUGGAAGAUGCUCCACCACAGAGAAUUGGUAUGAUGUGUGUACAUGUUUGUGUGUGUUUGUUUUUUUGUCUAUCUCCUCUGCUAAAACAUCUUUCAGUGUGUGUUUGCCUAUGAAUUUGCAUACUUGUACUGUGCAUCACUUCCAAACGUUUUUCUACAUUGAUAUAACUAACACGCUCUGUUGCAUAACCCCAGUAUGAGAGGUCUCCCUUCACAUGAAUGCAUGCUAUUGUAGUAAAACCAUUUUGGCCCAUCCAGCCUAGUACAAAUGAGCUAGCUUAUCCCUUCAUUUCCCAUUCAAGUGUAUUCAUUAAUACAUUAAUUUAUCAGCUUGUCUUGGUUCCAGCUUAAUUGAGUCCCAUUGCAACUUUCUAAGUAGGCCACAUAGAGAUCUGACAAAUCAAAUGUAUCUGGCUUUUGUUCCUUUGGGCUAGACUUGUAACCUUUAAAUCAGUAUUUGUAUGUCUUGUAUAUAUAUGUAAUAGAUAUAUAGAUUAUAAUAUUUUGCCUUCA